rnacentral:rRNA from 1 species
UGGGAAUUUGGACAAUGGGCGAAGCCUGAUCCAGCAAUGCCGCGUGUGUGAAGAAGGCCUUCGGGUUGUAAAGCACUUUUGUCCGGAAAGAAAUCCUUGGCUCUAAUACAGUCGGGGGAUGACGGUACCGGAAGAAUAAGCACCGGCUAACUACGUGCCAGCAGCCGCGGUAAUACGUAGGGUGCAAGCGUUAAUCGGAAUUACUGGGCGUAAAGCGUGCGCAGGCGGUUUGCUAAGACCGAUGUGAAAUCCCCGGGCUCAGCCUGGGAACUGCAUUGGUGACUGGCAGGCUAGAGUAUGGCAGAGGGGGGUAGAAUUCCACGUGUAGCAGUGAAAUGCGUAGAGAUGUGGAGGAAUACCGAUGGCGAAGGCAGCCCCUGGCAAUACUGACGCUCAUGCACGAAAGCGUGGGGAGCAAACAGGAUUAGAUACCCUGGUAGUCCACGCCCUAAACGAUGUCAACUAGUUGUUGGGGAUUCAUUCCUUAGUAACGUAGCUAACGCGUGAAGUUGACCGCCUGGGGAGUACGGUCGCAAGAUUAAAACUUAAAGGAAUUGAC